UGGCAGACGGGUGAGUAAGCGUGGGAACGUACCUUUUGGUUCGGAACAACACAGGGAAACUUGUGCUAAUACCGGAUAAGCCCUUACNGGGAAAGAUUUAUCNCCGAAAGAUCGCCCGCGUCUGAUUAGCUAGUUGGUGAGGUAACGGCUCACCAAGGCGACGAUCAGUAGCUGGUCUGAGAGGAUGAUCAGCCACAUUGGGACUGAGACACGGCCCAAACUCCUACNGNAGGCAGCAGUGGGA
rnacentral:rRNA from 1 species